UACGAAGGGGGCUAGCGUUGCUCGGAAUUACUGGGCGUAAAGGGCGCGUAGGCGGCCUUCUAAGUCAGACGUGAAAUCCCCCGGCUUAACCUGGGAACUGCGUCUGAUACUGGGAGGCUUGAGUAUGGGAGAGGGAUGUAGAAUUCCAGGUGUAGCGGUGAAAUGCGUAGAUAUAGGAAGGAACACCAGUGGCGAAGGCGACUACCUGGACUAAUACUGACACUGAGGUGCGAAAGCGUGGGGAGCAAACAGG
rnacentral:rRNA from 1 species